AUUGAACGCUGGCGGCAUGCCUUACACAUGCAAGUCGAAAGGUAACAGGUUAAGCUGACGAGUGGCGAACGGGUGAGUAAUAUAUCGGAACGUGCCCAGUCGUGGGGGAUAACGUAGCGAAAGCUACGCUAAUACCGCAUACGAUCUACGGAUGAAAGCGGGGGAUCGCAAGACCUCGCGCGAUUGGAGCGGCCGAUAUCAGAUUAGGUUGUUGGUGAGGUAAAAGCUCACCAAGCCUGCGAUCUGUAGCUGGUCUGAGAGGACGACCAGCCACACUGGAACUGAGACACGGUCCAGACUCCUACGGGAGGCAGCAGUGGGGAAGUUUGGACAAUGGACGCAAGUCUGAUCCAGCAAUGCCGCGUGCAGGACGAAGGCCUUCGGGUUGUAAACUGCUUUUGUACGGAACGAAACGGUGAGCUCUAAUACAGUUUGCUAAUGACGGUACCGUAAGAAUAAGCACCGGCUAACUACGUGCCAGCCGCCGCGGUAA
rnacentral:rRNA from 1 species